AUUGAACGCUGGCGGCAUGCUUUACACAUGCAAGUCGAACGGCAGCACAGGGAGCUUGCUCCCGGGUGGCGAGUGGCGCACGGGUGAGUAAUACAUCGGAACGUGUCCUGUUGUGGGGGAUAACUGCUCGAAAGGGUGGCUAAUACCGCAUGAGACCUGAGGGUGAAAGCGGGGGAUCGCAAGACCUCGCGCAAUUGGAGCGGCCGAUGCCCGAUUAGCUAGUUGGUGAGGUAAAGGCUCACCAAGGCGACGAUCGGUAGCUGGUCUGAGAGGACGACCAGCCACACUGGGACUGAGACACGGCCCAGACUCCUACGGGAGGCAGCAGUGGGGAAUUUUGGACAAUGGGGGCAACCCUGAUCCAGCCAUGCCGCGUGCAGGAUGAAGGCCUUCGGGUUGUAAACUGCUUUGUCUAGGGACGAAAAGGACCGUAGGUUAAUACCAUGGUCUGCUGACGGUACCUGAAGAAUAAGCACCGGCUAACUACGUG
rnacentral:rRNA from 1 species